CCUACGGGAGGCUGCAGUGGGGAAUAUUGGACAAUGGGGGCAACCCUGAUCCAGCCAUGCCGCGUGUGUGAAGAAGGCCCUCGGGUUGUAAAGCACUUUCAGUGAGGAAGAACGCCUGGUGGUUAAUACCCAUCAGGAAAGACAUCACUCACAGAAGAAGCACCGGCUAACUCCGUGCCAGCAGCCGCGGUAAUACGGAGGGUGCGAGCGUUAAUCGGAAUUACUGGGCGUAAAGCGCGCGUAGGUGGCUUGAUAAGCCGGUUGUGAAAGCCCCGGGCUCAACCUGGGAACGGCAUCCGGAACUGUCAAGCUAGAGUGCAGGAGAGGAAGGUAGAAUUCCCGGUGUAGCGGUGAAAUGCGUAGAGAUCGGGAGGAAUACCAGUGGCGAAGGCGGCAUUCUGGACUGUCACUGACACUGAGGUGCGAAAGCGUGGGUAGCAAACAGGAUUAGAUACCCCGGUAGUC
rnacentral:rRNA from 1 species